GACGAACGCUGGCGGCGUGCCUAAUACAUGCAAGUCGAGCGAAGCGGCGGAUGGGUGAGUAACGCGUGGGUAACCUGCCCUUAAGUCUGGGAUACCAUUUGGAAACAGAUUCUAAUACCGGAUUCUAAUGGAUGGCCCUGCGAUGCAUUAGCUAGUUGGUAAGGUAACGGGUUACCAAGGCGAUGAUGCAUAGACGAGUGGAGAGACUGAUCGGCCACAUUGGGACUGAGACACGGCCCAAACUCCUACGGGAGGCAGCAGUAGGGAAUCUUCCACAAUGGACGAAAGUCUGAUGGAGCAACGCCGCGUGAGUGAAGAAGGUUUGCGGAUCGGAAAGCUCUGUUGUUGGAGAAGCGGUAAUCAACCAGAAAGUCAAGGCUAACUACGUGCCAGCAGCCGCGGUAAUAC
rnacentral:rRNA from 1 species